GUCGGUGUUUAAUUUUAGGAGGAGAGAGAGGAAGAGGAGGAGGAGGAGGAGGAGAGAGAGGAAGAGGAGGAAGAACCUGUGGGACAGAGAAAAAGUUAGGUUGGAGGAUGCGGGCAUCGAUCCCGCUACCUCUCGCAUGCUAAGCGAGCGCUCUACCAUUUGAGCUAAUCCCCCGAAGUGACUCUUCCUCUGGAACCACUCCGACAAAAUAAUUGAUUGGCUAGAACAGUCUUAGAACUAAUGUGAUUGGCUGCAAGGAGAAGCGCGGGAGGAGUUUACGGACUAAUGAACCAAAAUAGAAACUCUGUCAGUGUUGAAGUUUUCUAAACUGAGGAGGAGUGAACCGCUUUAAACUCGGAGUUAAACCGUGACUCAGCACAGGCUCUAUUAAUUAAACCGUGACUCAGCACAGGCUCUAUUAAUUAAACCGUGACUCAGCACAGUUUGUGUUAAUCAGCGGUUUAAAAGCCUUGACCGGUUCUCCUGCUGACAAAACACUGAGUUUAUAAUCACGCAUUAAAGCUUAUAGAGGAACAUCUUUCUGGAUAAAAAGAGAAAACUGAACUUUUCUGAAUUGUUUUCAUCCCUCUGUAAAACUGUGAAACUGUGAGUUUCAUGUUGGAUCAGGUUUAGUUUGAUUAAGUCCAAAUUAUAAACAAGUUUGACAUGAAAGAUUCAAAGACAAAUAAAAGAGAAAUUCAGACACACCGCUGUUUUCUUCAUGUUCACUUUAGUGUUUUCUUCUUGUCUGUUUUUUUCUACUAAAAUCCUCAUUAUUCUAUGAAUUCAGCUUCUUUAACAUCCAAACCUUUAAAGAUUAAAAACUCUUUGUUCAUCUUUGUGUACGGCGGCCCUGAAGAGCAACUGCACAAAUAUUUACAGACUAAAAAAACAAACAAACCCAAUCAUAUUCCACUAAAUAUAACUGCUGUGACUCUGCGUCGUGGUUACACUCAAAGACAUCAGCGGGAUUGUGUUUCUGUGUUUAUUCUGUAAACUUUAAAAAGUCGGCCCUCCGCUCCUUCAUGGACAGAAACACAGACGACCUUAACACAAGCUGGAACGAAACGCACUAAACAGACAACUAAACAAUGACGACCACGACCACGACCACGACCACGACGUUACAUGAGUGAAAAGAAACUAGAAACUGUCUCAUAAACACACCACCAAAAAUAAAAGUAUAAUAAUAAAUAAUAAAUAAAUUAAAUACAGAGAAAUCAAUAAUUAGCCAACGGGCACCGACCUCUCCCCCCGGGAUAGAAACGGGGAGAAGUGAGGAGGCCGAUUCAUUUAAAGAGGAACAUAAACCAACGAAGAAGAAGAAGAGAGGCUGCGCCUAAAAUCACAAAAAGGUUUAGAAACAUCAAAACAAACUUUAGUCAUUAAGAAGAAAAAUGAUUAAACUUUAACUCACAAAAACAUUUACAAAGACGUACAAAAAGGUGAACGAAGGAU